GGCGUAAAGUGUGGUUAAGGAAACUCCUCAAACUAAAGCCGAAUGUCUUCACAGCAGUCAUACGCUACCGAAGGUAAGAAGCCCCUCAACGAAAGUGACUUUAUAUAACCUGAACCCACGAAAGCUAGGAAACAAACUGGGAUUCGGCACCCCACUAUGCCUAGCCGUAAACAAAGAUAGAAUCCUACACAUCUAUCCGCCCGAAUACUACGAGCGCAAGCUUAAAACUCAAGGGACUUGGCGGCGCUUUAUAACCACUAGAGGAGCCUGUUCUAGAACCGAUUCCCCCCGUUCAACCUCACCCUCUCUUGCUUUUUUCCGUCUAUAUACCGCCGUCGUCAGCUUACCCUUUGAAGGACAAAUAGUGAGCAAAAUUGGUAAAACCCAAAACGUCAGGUCGAGGUGUAGCGUAUGGGAGGGGAAGCAAUGGGCUACAUUCGCUUAGUCAAGCGAGCACCCGAGCCAUUAACUGAAAAUGUUUGGUAGAUUAAGGAUUUAGCAGUAAGAGAGAGA
rnacentral:rRNA from 1 species